ACUCUUCUGUGUCCCACAGACCUCGGGAAGGGACUCUUCAGCUGCAGCGACCCAGGCCCUGGACUUGUCGCCAUCGGCAGGAUCUUCAGCCAGCUCCUCCGACAGGGCACAGUAUUUCUUAGGGCAACAGAAUCGUCGGGAUGAAGAGGGCCUCCAGAGACUCUGAUAAACCCUUCAGGCGGACAAGACAAUAGGGGAGGGAACGGCAUUACCGGCAGAAGGAAGAGCAUGUACAGUAGCUCAAAGGAAUGAACCGCCCAACAGGUUUAAGGGAAGAAAGUGUCAGUUGCUGGACUCUCCGGUGAAAACGGACCAGACAAUGCAGGGCCC
rnacentral:lncRNA from 1 species